rnacentral:rRNA from 1 species
UACGUAGGGUGCAAGCGUUGUCCGGAAUUAUUGGGCGUAAAGAGUUCGUAGGCGGUCUGUCGCGUCUGCUGUGAAAACUCAGGGCUUAACCCUGAGCUUGCAGUGGGUACGGGCAGACUAGAGUGCGGUAGGGGAGACUGGAAUUCCUGGUGUAGCGGUGAAAUGCGCAGAUAUCAGGAGGAACACCGGUGGCGAGGGCGGGUCUCUGGGCCGUAACUGACGCUGAGGAGCGAAAGCAUGGGGAGCGAACAGG